AGUGGGGAAUAUUGGACAAUGGGGGAAACCCUGAUCCAGCGACGCCGCGUGAGUGAAGAAGUAUUUCGGUAUGUAAAGCUCUAUCAGCAGGGAAGAUAAUGACAGUACCUGACUAAGAAGCCCCGGCUAACUACGUGCCAGCAGCCGCGGUAAUACGUAGGGGGCAAGCGUUAUCCGGAUUUACUGGGUGUAAAGGGAGCGUAGGUGGCUAGGUAAGUCAGAUGUGAAAGCCCGGGGCUCAACCCCGGGAUUGCAUUUGAAACUAUUUAGCUAGAGUGCAGGAGAGGUAAGUGGAAUUCCUAGUGUAGCGGUGAAAUGCGUAGAUAUUAGGAGGAACACCAGUGGCGAAGGCGGCUUACUGGACUGUAACUGACACUGAGGCUCGAAAGCGUGGGGAGCAAA
rnacentral:rRNA from 1 species